UACGUAGGGGGCAAGCGUUAUCCGGAUUUACUGGGUGUAAAGGGAGCGCAGACGGCAGUGCAAGUCUGAUGUGAAAGCCCGGGGCUCAACCCCGGAACUGCAUUGGAAACUGUACAGCUUGAGUGUCGGAGAGGUAAGCGGAAUUCCUAGUGUAGUGGUGAAAUGCGUAGAUAUUAGGAGGAACACCGGUGGCGAAGGCGGCUUACUGGACGAUUACUGACGUUGAGGCUCGAAAGCGUGGGGAGCAAACAGGAUUAGAUACCCCGGUAGUCCCUGAG
rnacentral:rRNA from 1 species